UCUCCUCUCCUUUCUCUUUCUCUCUUUGCUCUCUCAUUACAUUUCCUUUUUGCAGGUUUCUUAUCCUGCCUUUAAUGGUGAAAUGUAUUUUUCCCUUUCUUUUUGAUAGAUAAAAGCUGCCAGUGUUCAGAUCUAGUUUUCUUUCUUUGCUUCAG